AGUCAUGGAAUCAGCACAUUGGUGUCUUGAUAAUUUAUUACAUGAUUGGUUUGGUUGCUUAGAAAAUCCAGAGAGUAUUGAAUAUUUUUCUUAAUAUUUGGUGGGCAUUGUUCAACUCACCGUCUUCUUCCCUAGACUGAAGAUUACUUUUUGUUUGGAGAGCGUAGUUGUCUUGAUGAUGACGUAUUUGAAAUUCGCUUUUUUGUUGCUGAUGCAAAGAGAAGAAGGUGCACUUACAGUUUUUAUGUGGCGUAGUGCCAUGUCAAUCUUUAAAAUUCUGUGCGAGGAUUUGACCUUUAACCUGCAAAAAUAACAGUUACAUUUACUAUACAGGAGCUAGAAAUUUAGCUACAAAUAUUUACUUUUGUAUGUUCAUAAUCUUGUUCAUGAUUGAUUGAUGAAGGUGAAAAAGUGAAUGAGGUUCCUGUAAUAAGAGUAGAUGGUUCAACUCCUGCUGGUCAAAAACUUGCUUACAUGUGCAUAAGGCUUUACCCUAUUUGUAUGUACCAUGUACAGAUAUUCCUAUCCAUCCAACGUCUGAAGGGGAUGCAUUUACAAAUGCUGUCUCUCUAGCCACGGAGAAAGCCUUGAAGCUCAAAGGCAAUGCUGGCGUAAAACGGCAACA